rnacentral:rRNA from 1 species
AUGUCGGCCAGGGACCUGGUGGAGACGGCCUGGGGCAUCGCCGGCAGCGGCGUGCCGUUCCUCUGGGUGGUCCGGCCGGGCCUGGUCGCCGCGGACGGGCUGACACGGCUGCCGGAUGGGUUCGAGGAGGCGACACACGGGCGCGGGAUGGUGGUGGAGUGGGCGCCGCAAGAGGAGGUGCUUCAGCAUGCGGCCGUGGCCGGGUUCUGGACGCACGGGGGCUGGAACUCGACAACGGAGAGCGUUUGCGAGGGGGUGCCGAUGCUGUGUCGCCCGCACUUCGGCGACCAGAUGGGGAACGCCAGGUACGUGGAGCACGUGUGGAGGGUGGGCUUCGAGGUCGCCGGCGCGCUCGAGGCUGGCGGCGUGGAGGUCGCCAUCCGGCGGCUCGUCACAGGGAGCGAGGGAGCGGAGAUGCGGGCCAGGGCCAGGGACCUGGUGGAGACGGUCUGGGGCAUCGGAGAAUACACAUGA